GUUGCCUCUCCUCCUAGGCCGACACUUCCUCUUUCCUGUUCCCUUCUUGCUUCCUCCCUAUUCCUCUAUGGCUCCUCCCUUCCCCCUCUAGAUCCCCUCCAUUGCAACACCAAUACUUCGAAAGAAGCAGCAAAACGGAUCAAGGAGGAAGAGAGGAUCAAGAAGAUGUGCAAAUCGGUAUCUCCCCCACCUUUUCCUUACGGAUUCUCAUGGGAACCCUAGGUGAUAUUGCUUCGAGGCGUGUAUGCCAUAUCAACAUGGUCGGAAGGCAAGUUAAUGUAGUUGUUGCCUUGCCACAACUCUAGCAUUCUAUUUUUACUGCCUUUCUUUAUAAAUUACAACAUUCAUGCUUAUAUGUGAUAAUAUAACAAAUUUGGACAUGACUCACAAUGAUCGGGCGAAGUAUGUAAUGUCAUUGCUAAUAUAGAUCUAGAGGUAACAUGUCUCUUUACUUCAACAUGGGUGGAUAGGUAAUGACAUGGUCUAUAUAUAAUGGAUUUUGAAUUUAUGGUUGGAGAUGAAAGUAUAUUUACAUAUGACAUAUACUUAGUAAUUUAUCCUAUGACAUAUUUUCUGGGAGUAAAAUAUAUGGAAUCCUUGACAGUUUACUAGUGAGUGGGCUUGUUUAGUAGAGGUAUGUUAACCUUGGUGUAUGCAAACCUCUGUGGCAGUUACGCUACUUUAUGUCUCCUAGUGCUAUCAUGUCUGGAUAAAUUGGAGUUUGGAUUACGAGUAAGGUUCGAAGUAGUUUCUUACUAUUGUUUGGUAUAGGUGUUCAAAUAUAUGGAUCGAAUCUUGGGUUGACUAGCUCUACUUAGAAAUAUUUUUAUCAUAGAUAUACUUGGGGCUUGGAUUAUGGAAUUAUUCUUUUAUACAUUUAAAUAGAUAAUGGCUACACGCUAUCCUAUUAAGACUAAGGAGAUAUAUAGAUAUAAUAAUAUGAAUAACUGUUUGGUUGAUGUUUGCAACACAUGAUUAUUCAGUCAUGAUUGGUUGAUGUCUGGAAUAUAUGUUCAUUCAAGCGUGGUUGGUUGAUGUUUGAAACAUAUGAAUAAUCAAUCAUGGUUGGUGUUGCUUAUGUUGAGGGAGUACUAUUUGCAUUUCUGGUAUUAACUAUCAUGGAUUAUUUUCUUCUUCCAUCAUGGAGUACAGGGAAUCUAAAUUUGGAGUAUAUGAUAUUUGGCUUUGGAGAUCAUGUUGCAUUGCAUUGCACUACAUUACAUGGCAUUUGGAGUUAUGUCACGAACCUAUAGUUGCGACCGUACCGGUACAUCAUCGUUUAUUGGGCAUAACGAUGCAACUUCAUACCUUAUUGGGUAUGAAGGCAGGAGUUCAUAUGGAUACAUAAUUGGUUUGGCAUAGA